UUAGAGGUGUAAGAGGUUUUUCAGGUGUGAUGCCUGUGAAAGAUAAAGGGAAGAGGGGACAGGUAAAACCUUCAUACUGCGAUGUUGACCUGACCUCUGUGAAAAAAAAAAGAGAGAGUAAGAAAGGAGCAUGAAGCAGGAAGAACCUCAGUGGGCAUUGCAGCUGUGGCAUAACUGUACUAGCCCAGAGGGGAGAGUGGGUGAAUCGUUGCUCGUAAAGGAGUUCUACUCUGGCCAGAUCUGAUGAAGAGACUGAAGCCCAGAGAAGGCAAAGACUUACCUCAAGCCACACAGUGACUUAAAAAAGAGCAGAGCAUCCGGUUCCCUUGUCCACACUACAGUAUCUGCUGCCUCUCCCGAAGGCAAGAGAAAGCAGCAGGAAGAGUCAGAGAGGAAAGGGAGUGCCCAUGAGUAGAAGUCACCACGGACCACCACCUGUGAAGAUGCUUCU